rnacentral:tRNA from 1 species
UAGGGGUAAUGGAUUGGGGCUGCUAACUUUGAUCCGGGGCAGGCUGCUCCGCCUCUAU